rnacentral:rRNA from 1 species
UACGGAGGAGGCAAGCGUUAUCCGGAAUUAUUGGGCGUAAAGCGUCCGUAGGUGGCUAGUCAAGUCUGCGGUCAAAGACUGGGGCUUAACCCUGGAAAGGCCGUGGAAACUGACGAGCUAGAGUGCAGUAGGGGUAGAGGGAAUUCCCGGUGUAGCGGUGAAAUGCGUAGAGCUCGGGAAGAACAUCGGUGGCGAAAGCGCUCUGCUGGACCUUAACUGACACUGAGGGACGAAAGCUAGGGGAGCGAAUGGG